rnacentral:misc_RNA from 1 species
GAUGAAGAACGCAGCGAAAUGCGAUACGUAAUGUGAAUUGCAGAAUUCAGUGAAUCAUCGAAUCUUUGAACGCACAUUGCGCCCCUUGGUAUUCCGAGGGGCAUGCCUGUUCGAGCGUCAUUAUAACCCUCAAGCUCAGCUUGGUGUUGGGGCCUGCUGCACUGGCAGCCCUUAAAAUCAGUGGCGGCGCCAUCUGGCUCUAAGCGUAGUAAUUCUUCUCGCUAUGGAGUCCUGGUGGAUGCUUGCCAUCAACCCCCAAUUUUUCUAUGGUUGACCUCGGAUCAGGUAGGGAUACCCGCUGAACUUAAGCAUAUCAAUAAGCGGAGGA